AUUUAUUAUAUCUUUUUGAGUGUCACUUUUUAAUGUUUCUUUUACACGUGUGUUUUUAAAAAGCUCUAUUUAGGGCGGCUACUUAUAAUGCGGCAAUUUGUUGGCGGGAAAUCGAGUUUAAAUUAGCCAUUUUUGGUUAAUAUAUUGGCGCUGUAUUCUUACUAGUAAUAACUUACUAUGACGUUCACAAUCUAUUAUUUAUUUUAUGGUAUAAUUACAACAGAAUUUCAACGCAGCACAAUUAUGUCUCUGUUUUAUAAAUCGAAUUAUAAAGAUAGUUACAUUAUUUCGUUUCAUAAUCACCGUGAUAAUGUGAGAAAGGGCUGUAUAAAUAAAGUCGAAAAAUGCUCGACUGCCAAAGCCAUCCCGCCAUUUUUUACCCGCCAAAAAUGAACAAAUUUGAAAGUUGCAAAUUACUUUGAAAAUUUAUAAAUUUGAGAAAGUAUUCGGUUUACAGUGAAACGUAGGAAAGCCAUCUGGACACGAUCAGGACAAGAUUCAUCUCCGAGCUGACUUUAUGCGCCUUUCGCUUGGUCGGUAAAUACUAGUACAGCGUUACCCCGCAUACCAAGCUGUUUGAUAUCGACGAAUAAAAUACUGCAAAUCUAUAGAAGGAUAUGUUCGAAGGAUAUUGAAAUUUUCUCGAGCGUACAAAAAUGUAUCAACCGCAUGGAAUUUAAAUCCUGUCGCCCAUUCGCAUUGCUUCUUAUUCGCCCGAAAACAUUUCUCGGUUUUCUUACGAAUGUCAAGAUAUUAAAAUGCACGGUACCGUGAUUUUUCACAGCGGUAUUUCGAUGAUCCCAUUCCAUAUGUUCCAUACAUUCUUCUCUUACCAUACAACUUAUAAUAAUUGUUACAAAUCUCUUGAAUUAAAAUUAGUGUACGUUUAUUUAAUCUUUUUUAGAUUUUUAAUGAAGCUAAUAUAAGUUACUGGAAUCGCAAGAAGCUGUACUGUACAGUUGCAAGAAAUUCGCUCCGUACAUUGUUAUUAAUUAUCAAUUUUUCAAGCUAUCGAUGAUCAAAAUUAAACACACGCGUAUCGAAUCCGAACACACCACAUUGCACAGUCUUUCACGCAGUUUACCGUGGCAUGUAUACGCUCCAAACUUUUAUCCAGCUUCUAUAUACCGGGUGUACCAAAACAAUAUCUCCCAAAUAAAAAUAAUCAUAUCACACUAAGUGUUUUAAGUGUUCAAAAUUUUUGUA
rnacentral:lncRNA from 1 species